rnacentral:misc_RNA from 1 species
AGUCGUAACAAGGUUUCCGUAGGUGAACCUGCGGAAGGAUCAUUAAAGAGUAAGGGUGCUCAGCGCCCGACCUCCAACCCUUUGUUGUUAAAACUACCUUGUUGCUUUGGCGGGACCGCUCGGUCUCGAGCCGCUGGGGAUUCGUCCCAGGCGAGCGCCCGCCAGAGUUAAACCAAACUCUUGUUAUUUAACCGGUCGUCUGAGUUAAAAUUUUGAAUAAAUCAAAACUUUCAACAACGGAUCUCUUGGUUCUCGCAUCGAUGAAGAACGCAGCGAAAUGCGAUAAGUAAUGUGAAUUGCAGAAUUCAGUGAAUCAUCGAAUCUUUGAACGCACAUUGCGCCCCUUGGUAUUCCGAGGGGCAUGCCUGUUCGAGCGUCAUUACACCACUCAAGCUAUGCUUGGUAUUGGGUGCCGUCCUUAGUUGGGCGCGCCUUAAAGACCUCGGCGAGGCCUCACCGGCUUUAGGCGUAGUAGAAUUUAUUCGAACGUCUGUCAAAGGAGAGGACUUCUGCCGACUGAAACCUUUAUUUUUCUAGGUUGACCUCGGAUCAGGUAGGGAUACCCGCUGAACUUAAGCAUAUCAAUAA